AGUGAACGCUGGCGGUAGGCCUAACACAUGCAAGUCGAACGGCAGCACAGGAGAGCUUGCUCUCUGGGUGGCGAGUGGCGGACGGGUGAGGAAUACAUCGGAAUCUACUCUGUCGUGGGGGAUAACGUAGGGAAACUUACGCUAAUACCGCAUACGACCUACGGGUGAAAGCAGGGGACCUUCGGGCCUUGCGCGAUUGAAAGAGCCGAUGUCGGAUUAGCUAGUUGGCGGGGUAACGGCCCACCAAGGCGACGAUCCGUAGCUGGUCUGAGAGGCAAAUCAGCCACACUGGAACUGAGACACGGUCCAGACUCCUACGGGAGGCAGCAGUGGGGGAUAUUGGACAAUGGGCGCAAGCCUGAUCCAGCCAUACCGCGUGGGUGAAGAAGGCCUUCGGGUUGUAAAGCCCUUUUGUUGGGAAAGAAAUCCAGCUGGCUAAUACCCGGUUGGGAUAACGGUACCCAAAGAAUAAGCACCGGCUAACUUCGUGCCAGCCGCCGCCGUAC
rnacentral:rRNA from 1 species